rnacentral:rRNA from 1 species
GACGAACGCUGGCGGCGUGCUUAACACAUGCAAGUCGAACGGAAAGGCCCUGCUUUUGUGGGGUGCUCGAGUGGCGAACGGGUGAGUAACACGUGAGUAACCUGCCCUUGACUUUGGGAUAACAUCAGGAAACUGGGGCUAAUACCGGAUAGGAGAUCCUGCUGCAUGGAGGGGGUUGGAAAGUUUCGGCGGUUGGGGAUGGACUCGCGGCAUAUCAGCUUGUUAGUGGGGUAGUGGCUUACCAAGGCUUUGACGGGUAGCCGGCCUGAGAGGGUGACCGGCCACGUUGGGACUGAGAUACGGCCCAGACUCCUACGGGAGGCAGCAGUGGGGAAGAUUGUACAAUGGGCGGAAGCCUGAUGCAGCAACGCCGCGUGCGGGAUGACGGCCUGCGGGUUGUAAAGCGCUUCCGCCUGUGACGAAGCGUGAGUGACGGUAAUGGGUAAAGAAGCACCGGCUAACUACGUG